rnacentral:rRNA from 1 species
AUUGAACGCUGGCGGCAGGCCUAACACAUGCAAGUCGAGCGGAUGAAGGUAGCUUGCUACCUGAUUCAGCGGCGGACGGGUGAGUAAUGCCUAGGAAUCUGCCUGGUAGUGGGGGACAACGUUUCGAAAGGAACGCUAAUACCGCAUACGUCCUACGGGAGAAAGUGGGGGAUCUUCGGACCUCACGCUAUCAGAUGAGCCUAGGUACGAUUAGCUAGUUGGUGAGGUAAAGGCUCACCAAGGCGACGAUCGUUAACUGGUCUGAGAGGAUGAUCAGUCACACUUGAACAGAGACACGGUCCAGACUCCUACGGGAGGCAGCAGUGGGGAAUAUUGGACAAUGGGCGAAAGCCUGAUCCAGCCAUGCCGCGUGUGUGAAGAAGGUCUUCGGAUUGUAAAGCACUUUAAGUUGGGAGGAAGGGCAGUAAGUUAAUACCUUGCUGUUUUGACGUUACCGACAGAAUAAGCACCGGCUAACUUCGUGCCAGCCGCCGCAGUAAAAC